rnacentral:lncRNA from 1 species
UCAGCUAUGACAAUCUUCAGAAGCCGAAAGAAAGCAUUUGCUUCUCACUGGCCACACAGGUUUGUUAAGAGAGAGAGAAGAGAGACAGAAAUGACUUGGAUUGGAGACCUGAGCCACUUUAUCCUGGAACUCAGACCAACACAUUGGAGAUUUCUGGACCAGUGCUUCCAGACCAGGAAAGAUUUUGCAUUCUAA